CCUACGGGUGGCAGCAGUGGGGAAUAUUGCACACUGGGGGAAACCCUGAUGCAGCGACGCCGCGUGAGUGAAGAAGUAAUUCGUUAUGUAAAGCUCUAUCAGCAGGGAAGAAAAUGACGGUACCUGAGUAAGAAGCCCCGGCUAACUACGUGCCAGCAGCCGCGGGAAUACGUAGGGGGCAAGCGUUCUGCGGAUUUACUGGGUGGAAAGGGAGCGUAGAUGGCAGUGCAAUUCUGGAGUGAAAGGCGGGGGCGCAACCCCCGGACUGCUCUGGAAACUGUACGGCUGGAGUGCAGGAGAGGUAAGUGGAAUUCCUAGUGCAGCGGUGAAAUGCGGAGAUAUUAGGAGGAACAGCAGUGGCGAAGGCGGCUUACUGGACUGUAACUGACGUUGAGGCUCGAAAGCGUGAGGAGCAAACAGGAUUAGAUACCCCAGUAGUC
rnacentral:rRNA from 1 species